rnacentral:ncRNA from 2 species
GAAGGACUACUUGCUUCAGGUUUCCCGAGGGCUAUUGCCCGAGGGAUGAAAUGGGAAGCCGGUGUUUCGAGCCUGUUCCACAGGCCGAGAGCAUCCCGGCGCUGCCCCCGCAACGGUAAACGAGAGCAAGGAACUGCAACACGCCACUGUGCAACAGCAUGGGAAGGCGCAGAUCCAGGGAUUUUCCCGCUCGUGAGCCCGGAGACCUGCCUGAGGCAUGCGGAUCGG